UCCGGCUUAUCACCGGCAGUUUCUUUAGAGUGCCCAACUGAAUGAUGGCAACUAAAGACGAGGGUUGCGCUCGUUGCGGGACUUAACCCAACAUCUCACGACACGAGCUGACGACAGCCAUGCAGCACCUGUGUCCAGGUCCCGUAAGGGAAGGAAUCCAUCUCUGGAAACCGUCCUGGCAUGUCAAACGCUGGUAAGGUUCUGCGCGUUGCUUCGAAUUAAGCCACAUGCUCCGCCGCUUGUGCGGGCCCCCGUCAAUUCCUUUGAGUUUCAGCCUUGCGGCCGUACUCCCCAGGCGGGGCACUUAUCGCGUUAGCUGCGGCACCGACGACGUGGAAUGUCGCCAACACCUAGUUCCCAACGUUUACGGCGUGGACUAC
rnacentral:misc_RNA from 1 species